rnacentral:rRNA from 1 species
ACGGGUGAGUAACGCGUGGGAAUCUACCCAUCUCUACGGAACAACUCCGGGAAACUGGAGCUAAUACCGUAUACGUCCUUCGGGAGAAAGAUUUAUCGGAGAUGGAUGAGCCCGCGUUGGAUUAGCUAGUUGGUGGGGUAAUGGCCUACCAAGGCGACGAUCCAUAGCUGGUCUGAGAGGAUGAUCAGCCACACUGGGACUGAGACACGGCCCAGACUCCUACGGGAGGCAGCAGUGGGGAAUAUUGGACAAUGGGCGAAAGCCUGAUCCAGCCAUGCCGCGUGAGCGAUGAAGGCCCUAGGGUUGUAAAGCUCUUUCAACGGUGAAGAUAAUGACGGUAACCGUAGAAGAAGCCCCGGCUAACUUCGUGCCAGCAGCCGCGGUAAUACGAAGGGGGCUAGCGUUGUUCGGAAUUACUGGGCGUAAAGCGCACGUAGGCGGAUUGUUAAGUUAGGGGUGAAAUCCCAGGGCUCAACCCUGGAACCGCCUUUAAUACUGGCAAUCUCGAGUCCGAGAGAGGUGAGUGGAAUUCCGAGUGUAGAGGUGAAAUUCGUAGA